rnacentral:rRNA from 2 species
UUAUCGGAGAGUUUGAUCCUGGCUCAGGACGAACGCUGGCGGCGUGCCUAAUACAUGCAAGUCGAGCGGACAGAUGGGAGCUUGCUCCC